CCGCGGAUGACCCUGAUGGCAACGGU
rnacentral:piRNA from 1 species